CUCCUCCUACGGGGCGCAGCAGUGAGGAAUAUUGGUCAAUGGGCGGGAGCCUGAACCAGCCAAGUCGCGUGAGGGAAGACGGUCCUAUGGAUUGUAAACCUCUUCAGGCGGGGAACAAUGCCGGGCACGCGUGUCCGGAGGGAGAGUACCCGCAGAAUAAGCAUCGGCUAACUCCGUGCCAGCAGCCGCGGCAAUACGGAGGAUGCGAGCGUUAUCCGGAUUUAUUGGGUUUAAAGGGUGCGUAGGCGGAUUUUUAAGUCAGCGGUAAAAUGUCCGGGCUCAACCCGGGCCGGCCGUUGAAACUG
rnacentral:rRNA from 1 species